CGCACAUUGCGCCCUUUGGUAUUCCGAAGGGCAUGCCUGUUCGAGCGUCAUUAUAACCACUCAAGCCUGGCUUGGUAUUGGAGUUCGCUAUCGGCGGCUCCUAAAAUCAGUGGCGGCGCCGCUCGGCUUCAAGCGUAGUAAUUCUUCUCGCUAUAGGGUCCUGCGGGUGACUUGCCAACAACCCCUAAUUUUUUCAGGUUGACCUCGGAUCAGGUAGGGAUACCCGCUGAACUUAA
rnacentral:misc_RNA from 1 species